rnacentral:rRNA from 1 species
GACGAACGCUGGCGGCGUGCUUAACACAUGCAAGUCGAACGGAAAGGCCCUGCUUUUGUGGGGUGCUCGAGUGGCGAACGGGUGAGUAACACGUGAGUAACCUGCCCUUGACUUUGGGAUAACUUCAGGAAACUGGGGCUAAUACCGGAUAGGAGCUCCUGCUGCAUGGUGGGGGUUGGAAAGUUUCGGCGGUUGGGGAUGGACUCGCGGCUUAUCAGCUUGUUGGUGGGGUAGUGGCUUACCAAGGCUUUGACGGGUAGCCGGCCUGAGAGGGUGACCGGCCACAUUGGGACUGAGAUACGGCCCAGACUCCUACGGGAGGCAGCAGUGGGGAAUAUUGCACAAUGGGCGGAAGCCUGAUGCAGCAACGCCGCGUGCGGGAUGACGGCCUUCGGGUUGUAAACCGCUUUCGCCUGUGACGAAGCGUGAGUGACGGUAAUGGGUAAAGAAGCACCGGCUAACUACGUGCCAGCAGCCGCGGUGAUACGUAGGGUGCGAGCGUUGUCCGGAUUUAUUGGGCGUAAAGGGCUCGUAGGUGGUUGAUCGCGUCGGAAGUGUAAUCUUGGGGCUUAACCCUGAGCGUGCUUUCGAUACGGGUUGACUUGAGGAAGGUAGGGGAGAAUGGAAUUCCUGGUGGAGCGGUGGAAUGCGCAGAUAUCAGGAGGAACACCAGUGGCGAAGGCGGUUCUCUGGGCCUUUCCUGACGCUGAGGAGCGAAAGCGUGGGGAGCGAACAGGCUUAGAUACCCUGGUAGUCCACGCUGUAAACGGUGGGUACUAGGUGUGGGGCCCAUUCCACGGGUUCCGUGCCGUAGCUAACGCUUUAAGUACCCCGCCUGGGGAGUACGGCCGCAAGGCUAAAACUCAAAGGAAUUGACGGGGCCCCGCACAAGCGGCGGAGCAUGCGGAUUAAUUCGAUGCAACGCGUAGAACCUUACCUGGGUUUGACAUGGAUCGGGAGUGCUCAGAGAUGGGUGUGCCUCUUUUGGGGUCGGUUCACAGGUGGUGCAUGGCUGUCGUCAGCUCGUGUCGUGAGAUGUUGGGUUAAGUCCCGCAACGAGCGCAACCCUUGUUCACUGUUGCCAGCACGUUAUGGUGGGGACUCAGUGGAGACCGCCGGGGUCAACUCGGAGGAAGGUGGGGAUGACGUCAAGUCGUCAUGCCCCUUAUGUCCAGGGCUUCACGCAUGCUACAAUGGCUGGUACAGAGAGUGGCGAGCCUGUGAGGGUGAGCGAAUCUCGGAAAGCCGGUCUCAGUUCGGAUUGGGGUCUGCAACUCGACCUCAUGAAGUCGGAGUCGCUAGUAAUCGCAGAUCAGCAACGCUGCGGUGAAUACGUUCCCGGG